GGUUAAGCGACUAAGCGUACACGGUGGAUGCCCUGGCAGUCAGAGGCGAUGAAGGACGUGCUAAUCUGCGAUAAGCGUCGGUAAGGUGAUAUGAACCGUUAUAACCGGCGAUUUCCGAAUGGGGAAACCCAGUGUGAUUCGUCACACUAUCAUUAACUGAAUCCAUAGGUUAAUGAGGCGAACCGGGGGAACUGAAACAUCUAAGUACCCCGAGGAAAAGAAAUCAACCGAGAUUCCCCCAGUAGCGGCGAGCGAACGGGGAGGAGCCCAGAGCCUGAAUCAGUGUGUGUGUUAGUGGAAGCGUCUGGAAAGGCGCGCGAUACAGGGUGACAGCCCCGUACACAAAAAUGCACAUGCUGUGAGCUCGAUGAGUAGGGCGGGACACGUGGUAUCCUGUCUGAAUAUGGGGGGACCAUCCUCCAAGGCUAAAUACUCCUGACUGACCGAUAGUGAACCAGUACCGUGAGGGAAAGGCGAAAAGAACCCCGGCGAGGGGAGUGAAAAAGAACCUGAAACCGUGUACGUACAAGCAGUGGGAGCACAGAGCAAUCUGUGUGACUGCGUACCUUUUGUAUAAUGGGUCAGCGACUUAUAUUCUGUAGCAAGGUUAACCGAAUAGGGGAGCCGAAGGGAAACCGAGUCUUAACUGGGCGUUAAGUUGCAGGGUAUAGACCCGAAACCCGGUGAUCUAGCCAUGGGCAGGUUGAAGGUUGGGUAACACUAACUGGAGGACCGAACCGACUAAUGUUGAAAAAUUAGCGGAUGACUUGUGGCUGGGGGUGAAAGGCCAAUCAAACCGGGAGAUAGCUGGUUCUCCCCGAAAGCUAUUUAGGUAGCGCCUCGUGAAUUCAUCUCCGGGGGUAGAGCACUGUUUCGGCAAGGGGGUCAUCCCGACUUACCAACCCGAUGCAAACUGCGAAUACCGGAGAAUGUUAUCACGGGAGACACACGGCGGGUGCUAACGUCCGUCGUGAAGAGGGAAACAACCCAGACCGCCAGCUAAGGUCCCAAAGUCAUGGUUAAGUGGGAAACGAUGUGGGAAGGCCCAGACAGCCAGGAUGUUGGCUUAGAAGCAGCCAUCAUUUAAAGAAAGCGUAAUAGCUCACUGGUCGAGUCGGCCUGCGCGGAAGAUGUAACGGGGCUAAACCAUGCACCGAAGCUGCGGCAGCGACGCUGAUGCGUUGUUGGGUAGGGGAGCGUUCUGUAAGCCUGUGAAGGUGUACUGUGAGGUAUGCUGGAGGUAUCAGAAGUGCGAAUGCUGACAUAAGUAACGAUAAAGCGGGUGAAAAGCCCGCUCGCCGGAAGACCAAGGGUUCCUGUCCAACGUUAAUCGGGGCAGGGUGAGUCGACCCCUAAGGCGAGGCCGAAAGGCGUAGUCGAUGGGAAACAGGUUAAUAUUCCUGUACUUGGUGUUACUGCGAAGGGGGGACGGAGAAGGCUAUGUUGGCCGGGCGACGGUUGUCCCGGUUUAAGCGUGUAGGCUGGUUUUCCAGGCAAAUCCGGAAAAUCAAGGCUGAGGCGUGAUGACGAGGCACUACGGUGCUGAAGCAACAAAUGCCCUGCUUCCAGGAAAAGCCUCUAAGCAUCAGGUAACAUCAAAUCGUACCCCAAACCGACACAGGUGGUCAGGUAGAGAAUACCAAGGCGCUUGAGAGAACUCGGGUGAAGGAACUAGGCAAAAUGGUGCCGUAACUUCGGGAGAAGGCACGCUGAUAUGUAGGUGAAGUCCCUCGCGGAUGGAGCUGAAAUCAGUCGAAGAUACCAGCUGGCUGCAACUGUUUAUUAAAAACACAGCACUGUGCAAACACGAAAGUGGACGUAUACGGUGUGACGCCUGCCCGGUGCCGGAAGGUUAAUUGAUGGGGUUAGCGCAAGCGAAGCUCUUGAUCGAAGCCCCGGUAAACGGCGGCCGUAACUAUAACGGUCCUAAGGUAGCGAAAUUCCUUGUCGGGUAAGUUCCGACCUGCACGAAUGGCGUAAUGAUGGCCAGGCUGUCUCCACCCGAGACUCAGUGAAAUUGAACUCGCUGUGAAGAUGCAGUGUACCCGCGGCAAGACGGAAAGACCCCGUGAACCUUUACUAUAGCUUGACACUGAACAUUGAGCCUUGAUGUGUAGGAUAGGUGGGAGGCUUUGAAGUGUGGACGCCAGUCUGCAUGGAGCCGACCUUGAAAUACCACCCUUUAAUGUUUGAUGUUCUAACGUUGACCCGUAAUCCGGGUUGCGGACAGUGUCUGGUGGGUAGUUUGACUGGGGCGGUCUCCUCCUAAAGAGUAACGGAGGAGCACGAAGGUUGGCUAAUCCUGGUCGGACAUCAGGAGGUUAGUGCAAUGGCAUAAGCCAGCUUGACUGCGAGCGUGACGGCGCGAGCAGGUGCGAAAGCAGGUCAUAGUGAUCCGGUGGUUCUGAAUGGAAGGGCCAUCGCUCAACGGAUAAAAGGUACUCCGGGGAUAACAGGCUGAUACCGCCCAAGAGUUCAUAUCGACGGCGGUGUUUGGCACCUCGAUGUCGGCUCAUCACAUCCUGGGGCUGAAGUAGGUCCCAAGGGUAUGGCUGUUCGCCAUUUAAAGUGGUACGCGAGCUGGGUUUAGAACGUCGUGAGACAGUUCGGUCCCUAUCUGCCGUGGGCGCUGGAGAAUUGAGGGGGGCUGCUCCUAGUACGAGAGGACCGGAGUGGACGCAUCACUGGUGUUCGGGUUGUCAUGCCAAUGGCACUGCCCGGUAGCUAAAUGCGGAAGAGAUAAGUGCUGAAAGCAUCUAAGCACGAAACUUGCCCCGAGAUGAGUUCUCCCUGACUCCUUGAGAGUCCUGAAGGAACGUUGAAGACGACGACGUUGAUAGGCCGGGUGUGUAAGCGCAGCGAUGCGUUGAGCUAACCGGUACUAAUGAACCGUGAGGCUUAACCUU
rnacentral:rRNA from 1 species